GGGGAAUUUUGGACAAUGGGCGCAAGCCUGAUCCAGCCAUGCCGCGUGUCUGAAGAAGGCCUUCGGGUUGUAAAGGACUUUUGCCAGGGAAGAAAAGGCUGUUGCUAAUACCGACAGCUGAUGACGGUACCUGAAGAAUAAGCACCGGCUAACUACGUGCCAGCAGCCGCGGUAAUACGUAGGGUGCGAGCGUUAAUCGGAAUUACUGGGCGUAAAGCGAGCGCAGACGGUUACUUAAGCAGGAUGUGAAAUCCCCGGGCUCAACCUGGGAACUGCGUUCUGAACUGGGUGACUAGAGUGUGUCAGAGGGAGGUAGAAUUCCACGUGUAGCAGUGAAAUGCGUAGAGAUGUGGAGGAAUACCGAUGGCGAAGGCAGCCUCCUGGGAUAACACUGACGUUCAUGCUCGAAAGCGUGGGUAGCAAACAGGAUUAGAUACCCUGGUAGUCCACGCCCUAAACGAUGUCAAUUAGCUGUUGGGCAACUUGAUUGCUUAGUAGCGUAGCUAACGCGUGAAAUUGACCGCCUGGGGAGUACGGUCGCAAGAUUA
rnacentral:rRNA from 1 species